AUUCAUGUAAGUAGUGGGAAAAAAAGGAAAUCAUUCAAAUUAGAAAAAUUAGAAUUUUAGGCCAAAUUCUAAAUAAUAUAUAAUGACUCAACCAAGCUUUCUUAGCACAAAAGCAUUGCUAAAAAGAGUACACCUAGGGUUUGUUUGUAUCAUUGUUUUUUAAUCUGUUAAUUUUUGUGUCAUUUGCAUUUGCUUGCAUGCUAAGGUAGGUGGUUGAUCACAACUUAUUUAAUAAGGAAAAUCAGCUAAUAGGACAUAAAAUAAUCACAAAAAAGAAUGAAACAUCAAAAAAAGCCAGGAAAGUGGUAUUAACAAAAAAUAAAACUGAGUUCCCCUUUGGGUUAGAAUGUAGAGGGUAAUGAAAGAUUGUUGCUCCCACUAAAACAAUAGAUAAUUACAAGAUAAGCAACCCAAAAAAAUAGAUUUCUUUAAAGCUGUUGAGAAGUGUUUGACACAAUGAUAUCUAAAGGAACUAAAUUUUAGAGUCGCAUAAGCACUUUUUAGUGACAACGGACAUUUUCAUCCCUAGGGCUCAUGGCAGAGGUUGCACACACACUAAAGCAUAGGAGGAAUCCUGCCAGAGAAGGACCGUCUUUGCUCAGGAAGGGAAGAAUACUCUCGGAGAACCACGUUCAGGAACACAGUGAUGCAUUUGUUUACCUGAGCGUGACGUAGCACGCAAGAUGGCCUCCGGAAGGUGUUCAUGUACGUAAGCAUACUACAUAGCUUGGUUUUCAGACUUCCUCUGUAACACUCUUGCUCCAGGAAGAACACACUUCACUACUUCUUGAACAAGGCCUUCAAGUUCCUGUCUCUAUGCAAUUUCCUUCCCCUGGAUGUCCUUGACCUUCAUUUCCUGCCUUGAAAAAUCUUUCCCUUUUUCUAGGUUUAGCUCAAGCUUCUCCUCCAAGAAAACAA
rnacentral:lncRNA from 1 species